rnacentral:tRNA from 1 species
UGCAUCGGCCGGGAAUCGAACCCCGCCGGCCGCGUGGUAGGCGAGCAUUCUCGCCAUUGAACUACCGAUGC